AUGUCUCCCUCCGGUUUUGAUUUUUGGUACAGCCUGCAGAUAUUUAAGGGAAUAAAAGAUUUUAAAAGAAAAUGCUCUAAAACCUUUUGUAGUAGUCUGUUCUCAAACUGCUAUGAAAAUACUACCAGAGAUUGGGUAAUUUGUAAAGAAAAUGACUCACAGUUCAGCAUGGCUGGGAAGGCCUCAGGAAACUUCCAAUCAUGGUGGAAGGAGAAACAGGCACGUCUUAUAUGGUGGCAGGUGAGAGAAGUAAAGUGUGAGCCCAGGAAAAGCUGUCACUUUAAAAAUCAUCAGAUCUCAUGAAACUCACUAUCACAAGAACAGCAUGGGGGAAACUACCCCCAUAAUCCAAUCACCUCCCACCAGAUUCCUCCCUUGACAUAUGGGGAUUACAAUUCCAGAUGAGAUUUGGGUGGGGACACAGAGCCAAACCAUAUCAGCUUUACACCCAGAAAUCUUGAGGAUUUGCACAUACAGAUGGUCUGCUUUUUUGACUUUAUGAUGGUGUGAAAGCGAUAUGCAUUCAGUAGAAACAGUAGUUCAAGUCCCCAUAUAACCAUUCUGUUUUUCACUUUUAUUACAGCAUUCAAUAAAUUACGUGAGAUAGUCAACACUUUAUUUUAAAAUAGGUUUUGUGUUAGAUGAUUUUGCCCAACUGUAGGCUAAUGUAAGUGUUUUGAGCACAUUUAAGGUAGGCUAGGAUAAGCUGUGACAUUUGGUAUGUGUGUCAGUCUAUUUUGUGUUGCUAUAAAGGAAUGCCUGAGACUGUAUAAUUUAUUAAAAAAAGAGGUUCAUUUGGCUCAAAGUUCUGCAGGCUGUACAAGAAGCAUGGCACUAUCAUCUGCUUCUGGUGAGGCCUCAGGAAGCUUACAAUAAUGGAGGAUGGCUAAGGGCGGGGGCAGGCAUUUCACAUGGUGAGACAGGGAGCACAAGAGAGAGGAGGAGACGCCAGGCUUUAUUUAAUUUAUUUUUAUUUAAACAAGCAGAUCUCAUGGUAACUAAUAGAGCAAGAAUUCACUCAUUACCAUGGGGAGGGCACCAAACCUUUCAUGAGGAUCCACCUCCACGACCUAAACACCUUCCACUAGGCUCCACCUCCAACACUGGGGAUCACAUUUCAACAUGAGACUUGGAGAGGACAAACAUCCAAACUACACCAGUAGGUAAAGUGUAUUAAAAUGUAUUUUCCAUUUAGGAUAUUUUCAACUUAUGAUAGGUUUAUUGGGAUGUAACCCCAUCAUAAGCCAAGGAUCAUGUGUAUUUCCAUGGCCUUUAUAUCUGAAUUUCAAUUACUCCCCACCUCCCUGCUACCACCCUGUGUAGACAUUAUUUCAUAGUUUUGUAGUUUGAAUGUUGCUGUAGAUACGUUUUAGCAUAAGCCUAAUUUUAAUUUCCUCCUUGUGUAUGAUUUCCUUGCAAGGGUAUGACUGUGCAUGAGCCACCCGCUAAAGUGUCCCAGAAUGGUCUCUAUGUUGUAGAAUUCAUGUCUUUGUGAAAUCCCCUUCCCUUGGGGGUGGUCCAUACCUGAUGAUUUGUUUCUAACAAAUAAGACACAGCAAAAAUGAUGGGGUAUCACCUCCAGUAUUAGAUAACAGAAACUCUGACUUACAUCUUGCUCUUCCUCUCUCACUCUCUAACUGACUCAUCCCAACUAGGGUUGCCAGAUUUAGCAAAUAAAAAUACAGGAUGUAC
ensembl:lncRNA